CCUACGGGAGGCAGCAGUAGGGAAUAUUGCUCAAUGGGGGAAACCCUGAAGCAGCAACGCCGCGUGGAGGAUGAAGGUUUUCGGAUUGUAAACUCCUUUUGUUAGAGAAGAUAAUGACGGUAUCUAACGAAUAAGCACCGGCUAACUCCGUGCCAGCAGCCGCGGUAAUACGGAGGGUGAAAGCGUUACUCGGAAUCACUGGGCGUAAAGAGCGCGUAGGCGGGAUAGCAAGUCAGAUGUGAAAUCCUAGGGCUUAACCAUAGAACUGCAUUUGAAACUGUUAUUCUAGAGUAUGGGAGAGGUAGGUGGAAUUCUUGGUGUAGGGGUAAAAUCCGUAGAGAUCAAGAGGAAUACUCAUUGCGAAGGCGACCUGCUAGAACAUAACUGACGCUGAUGCGCGAAAGCGUGGGGAGCAAACAGGAUUAGAUACCCUGGUAGUC
rnacentral:rRNA from 1 species